AAAGUCGUAACAAGGUAACCGUAGGUGAACCUGCGGUUGGAUCAUUAAAAAAUCUGAAAAAAUUCAUUCGGAACGGUUAUUGCCCGACCCACUUACACUUGAGUGGGGUUCUGGGCUUUACGCCAAGUACGAAUGGGGGAUUUCAUACCCACAUUCUGUGAACUUGUAUACUGUCUCUGGCGGGGGAGAAUGGAUGAGGACCUUCCUCUGAACUUCUCGUCAGCCCGGGUCACCCUCUAAGGUGACCCGGUGCCGUGGACAUCCCGCCAAACUCUUCCGAUGGGAGAUCUUUCCGAAGGUCCCUCGUUCGGAAGGUUGUGCUCACCUUUUGCAUCUGUUUUUUCGGGAAUGCUUCUGAGAAUCUGGUCGGGCAAAUGCUCGGUCUUUUUGAAACAAUUAUUCAAAACAACUUUUGGCAACGGAUCUCUUGGCUCUC
rnacentral:misc_RNA from 1 species